UCACUCACCUUAUUAUUUAGAGAAUGUUAAUGGUAUUGAUGUGGGUCUUCUUAGUGUGUUUAAGGCACAUGAGUUUGGUUUUUCCCCUGUGGGAAAGGAGAACAGGUUCUUUUUUCCCCCUUGCCUUUUGCAGUGACCUUUCACCUGAUUGCAGCCUGCUGCAGUGGCUCCUCACAGUCUCCUCCAGGCUGGAUGAAAACACAGCCCAUGCUUUCUCACCUCCCACCACAGUCAGACUGGGGGAGGCACCUGAGCAAGCCUCUGUGCAAUUCUUUCACUGCCUGUGAUGGUGGUGAUACAGAGGGAGUGGAUAAAACUAGAACUGGUCAAAUACCAUCCAUGCUGUCUACUCACACAGCUCAGCUGAGAGCAGUUCACAUGCAUCAGCACUGAGCUGCCUUCUUCAAACCAUCCAAAGGCCUGAAGCUGUGAUUCUGCAAAGCUGCCCUCAUCCUCAUGAGUCACUGGACAAAGGAGCUGCUGGAUUUGGACUCUGUCACCUGCUCUGAAGCCUCUGCUGAUAUGAACCCUGGGAUCUCUUCUGCAUUGACUCUUAACCUCUUACACCACCGAGCUUCCAGGAAGGCUUGGACUGAGACCCAAACACCCAUUCUGCGUGGGCAAGUUCAGAGACAGGUUUUUGCAAGCCAGUCUUUGCUUCACCCAUGGACAAUUUUCAUUUGGAUGGUUUUCCUCCAGCCCCAUCUGUUGUUGUGGCCUCACAGAAACAGUUAAUGGCUUGUUCUUGCCUCCUACUCCUUGGCCUGCCAAAGUCCCAUCCCUGUUGCAGAUACCACAGCCCUGAAGCAGCCAGGUGAGAGGCUGCUCAGGCUCCUUCCCAAGGAGGAGGAACAGGGACUGAGGAGGGACACGGCCCAUGGGCAGCAGGACCCGGUGCAGCAGAGCCCCUUCAGCGCCCAGCGGUGAUGGAGAGGGCUGUCCAAGCUGGACAUUUGCCCGGCUUAGGGAGAAUAAGGAGAGUGACCCUUGUCAUUUGAAGAGGCAGAGAACAGGUAAAGCAGAAGAGAACGGGAGCAAACAUAGAAGUCAGACAGAAAACUCCCAUCUCAGCACCAGGAGUUGCCAUCGAGGUACUGCAUUUCAGGCACCCCAGAGGAGGCGCUUUCGGAGUCUCAGCCUUAUCAGUUUCUCACCUCAUUGCUGUGGUGUGUUGCCAAGGGGACAGGAGGCAUGUUUUGGGAGGAUGCAGCCCAUGUGACAGCAAUAGGAGAACCACAGCUCCCAGAGCAGCUCUGCCAGUGAUGAUUAUACAAACAGAGCAGCCCCCCAGUGAAGCCCCAGUGCUAGCACACAUGAGCCCCUCAAUCCAUUGCCCUGUGUCAGGUCACUGUUCAGGGUCCACCCUUCCCUCUCCUCCAGCAAGUUCACUGUGGGAUGUGCCCCAGGCCAGCCCUGGCAGCAGACUCCUUCUGAGCCCCUGUGGCUUUUUCUGAUUAAUGGGCACACAGCUAAGAGGCACUGGGAAUUAGAGAUAAGCCCCAGCGCUAGGAGCACUUCUGACAGCCCCAUAGCACGGCUGGGGAGAGAUGAGUGCAGAGAUGAGGAUUUCACAAACCCCGUACAAGACUCAGGGCACACCCAGCUCUGGAGGAUGCAGCUGGGCCCUGAGCACCUGGGGAUGUGGCAGGCUGGCCAGAAGCCCCCUGAGGAAGGUGCUGAUGCAGACACCUGCACACUGAGUGAAGUGCCAAGUGCCCCAGCUCCUGGAACAGGUGCACAGUUGCAAGGUAUCACAUGUUCUUGGUGGCUCCGUGCCCUUCUCCAGCUCAGCCAGGGGUGGGAGGACACAGACCUCAGACAAGCAGGAAGCCUGGCAGGUACUGCUUUCUCCAAAUGUCACCAGCCCAGUCUUCUCUGCCCACGUGCCUGGGGUGGCUUUACCACAGUGGUACCAAAUGCAGCUGCACCAGAGCUGCUGUGUGUAGCCUGAGCGCCCUUUGCUUCCACAGGUCACCCCAGACACUGUGCACCCCUCCCUUUCUGUAUGCAGCCCGAGGCCCCUUCAAUCCACCCCUCCUCUCUGCCUGGGUGAGUCCUGUGCCUUCAGGCUCGAGUAGGAAGCUGCAAGGCUGU